UCCUACGGGAGGCAGCAGUGGGGAAUAUUGGACAAUGGGGGCAACCCUGAUCCAGCCAUGCCGCGUGUGUGAAGAAGGCCCUCGGGUUGUAAAGCACUUUCAGCGAGGAAGAACGCCUAGCGGUUAAUACCCGCUAGGAAAGACAUCACUCGCAGAAGAAGCACCGGCUAACUCCGUGCCAGCAGCUGCGGUAAUACGGAGGGUGCAAGCGUUAAUCGGAAUUACUGGGCGUAAAGCGCGCGUAGGUGGCUUGAUAAGCCGGUUGUGAAAGCCCCGGGCUCAACCUGGGAACGGCAUCCGGAACUGUCAAGCUAGAGUGCAGGAGAGGAAGGUAGAAUUCCCGGUGUAGCGGUGAAAUGCGUAGAGAUCGGGAGGAAUACCAGUGGCGAAGGCGGCCUUCUGGACUGACACUGACACUGAGGUGCGAAAGCGUGGGUAGCAAACAGGAUUAGAUACCCUGGUAGUCCACACCGUAAACGAUGAAUGCCAGUCGUCGGGUAGCAUGCUAUUCGGUGACACACCUAACGGAUUAAGCAUUCCGCCUGGGGAGUACGGUCGCAAGAUUAAAACUCAAAUGAAUUGACGG
rnacentral:rRNA from 1 species